AUGCCCCGUUAACUAUGGCUGUUUUGCAUUUGACCCAAUUUCUUAAUACAUGAUUAUUCCCUUUGCAGAAAGAUUUGCUGUUGAAUACAAAAUAUGAAUAAAUUAAUAGAAUUCAUAUUUUGUAGAUUUAAGAGCAGAGCUACAAAGUGAUAUUAUAUUUUUUUAAAUAAGAAAUCAUAGGUGUUGGCUGUGAAGAGGGUAUGGAGUAAAAAUGUCAUAAUUAUAUAUGUAACAAGUGCAGAUACUGGACUUGGGUUGAGGAUGAUGCUAAUCCAUAGAAGAUAAAUGGUAAAUCUUCAUUUAGAAGUUUUGUAAUUUGUUUAUAUCAAUUUUAAGUAGUCCAUAAACA